rnacentral:rRNA from 1 species
GUCUACAGCCAUAGCACCCUGAGCGCACCCGAUCUCGUCUGAUCUCGGGAGCUCAUUAUGAUACAAUUGAAAAGGAAGUUUGGUUAUUUCUGUGACA